UGCGUCUGGUGAGGAUAGAAAAAGGACAGGUUUCGCUGAAUUAAUAGCAGAACGAGAACAUGUCGAGACACCUUGGCUGUCUGAGGACG
rnacentral:snoRNA from 1 species